CAACGGUACCGCCCCGCGGCGUACGGUUACUAUACGUACAACAAUGGGCACGUACGCGCUGCGGGCGGCGGCACAACGUCGCAUCGGCGCGCGACCGGGGAGGCACGGCCUGCGGUGCGUCGGUCCGACCUCCAACACCACCGCUUUUCCCUCCGUCACCGCGCACCCUACCGGUCGCACAGCGCGGCAACGUUGCACCGACAGCCGUCGCCGCCGCCGUGCGCGAGAGGGGCUCCACCAGCACUGCUCUGUUGCCGCGACCGCUGCCGUCAUCGACCUUGGAGACCUCCGAAAUAACAAUUAUUCAUUAUAACCCGGUGGUGCCCCUCUCCCGCGACCGCCCUCUCCGGGUUAUUAUCCGAAACUAUUAUUACGAUUACCGUCGUCUUGUCGUCUUAUUAUUUUUAUUAUUAUUAUUGUCAUUUUACGUUGCACGCGUCGCUCUAUUUCGAUCAUUACCUGGUGAGAAUUUUUUUAGAUCAACCCGAUAACUAAAACAAACUGCCUCGGCACGGUAAAUUUAUUUUUCGUGAACGUGUAAAAAUAUAUUCGCCGUUCAGGAAUUACUAGUAAAUAGCUACGUUUUUUUUUCGUCGCUUUUAGUUACACUGUCAUGGGGAUUUAUCGAUGAAUAGUAAUUAUUUAAUUUUUUAAACCAUCUCGGAUGUCAAAUCUUAGUUUUUCGAUUUCAUUGUAUGAGCUGUUUUAUUUCUAAUCACAUAUUCUAGGUGUGCUUUAAUUUCGAUUUAUUUUUAAAUUUGAGCUAUAUAUUAGGUGAAUAUUUUAGGCUUAUUUUCCUGAUGAAUUGAAAACAAUACAAGAUGGCUUUUGAAAAAAUGAAUGUUAAAUUCAGUGUCGGUUCAUGACUUCCGGCAAAACAUUUACAUUGGGCCCCUAUACAACAUAAUAUUGGAGUGGGAUUCAAAAAUUAGAUUGACAAUAAUGGAAAAAUGAAAAAUAGUGGAGCAUACAUAAAGGCAUCUAGAAGAACUGCACAUCACAAUAAUAGAGAACAUGAUAGAAGGAAAAAGACCACCUGGGCGACCUCACAAUUCAUUUAUCGGAAAAAUCAAGAGAGAUGCAGGAGUCGAAAGCUAUAGGACAUUAAAAGAAAUAGCGAGUGACCGUGAAGAAUGGAGAAGAAAUGUUUCAAAUCAACCACGGAUUGAACAAAAAAGAAAAGUUUUACCGCCAUGACUGAAAAAUGAAAAUGCACUCAAACAUACAGUACAUUAGAUAUCAAGAUUAUUAUUGGUUUCAUCUUUUUUUAUGAAUGGAAAUUAUUUUUGUAAUUUAUCUGUGAAAUUGCAUAAUUGUUUUGGAGCCAUAGUGUUUAACUGUAGGUGGCAUAUAGACUAGGAGAGGACAGAUUUACAAUACGAAAAACAAAUGAAUAUAAAUAAAAAUACCUAACAAUGAGAAUCACUUUAUUUAAAACAUAUUUACAAUUAAACGUGCAACACAGACUACCAAUGUUCGAGCGAACGAAACCACACAAGGGGUAAGAAGUCGGGAAUGAUUCUUAGAAGCCGGUACUAUUUUAUAUCCCGGUCGGGAAUCGAAAGAUAUCGGGACAGAAGAGUGAAAACCGGCAGUGUCACAGCCAAACCCUGACAACCCUACCCUAAUCGAUCAAAAGGGUAACACCACUUCACAACCUGGCACUCUUCUCCAUCAUUCAUCUACGUAUAACAAAGGUAUUACACCUCGUCAGAACUGCCCAAGCAUUUUAAGGAUUUUUUACUAUAAUAAAUUACAGUAAUAACUAUUUAAAAAUUAAAAUAACUGAAUAUGUAGUCUGUAUAA
rnacentral:lncRNA from 1 species